rnacentral:rRNA from 1 species
AGCGAACGCUGGCGGCAGGCCUAACACAUGCAAGUCGAGCGCCCGUAGCAAUACGGGAGCGGCAGACGGGAGAGUAACACGUGGGAACGUACCCUUCAGUUCGGAACAACCCAGGGAAACUUGGGCUAAUACCGAAUACGUCCGUAAGGAGAAAGAUUUAUCGCUGAAGGAUCGGCCCGCGUCUGAUUAGCUAGUUGGUGAGGUAACGGCUCACCAAGGCGACGAUCAGUAGCNGGUCUGAGAGGAUGAUCAGCCUCACUGGGACUGAGACACGGCCCAGACUCCUACGGGAGGCAGCAGUGGGGAAUAUUGGACAAUGGCGCAAGCCUGAUCCAGCCAUGCCGCGUGGAUGAUGAAGGCCCUAGGGUUGUAAAGUCCUUUCGCGGGGGAAGAUAAUGACGGUACCCGCAGAAGAAG